rnacentral:lncRNA from 1 species
UCCAUCCCCGCAGCCUGCCUCAGUUUCCCCAAGCGCCGCCCCGCGCUCCGGGCAGGGCUGCGGCCGGCGGCUCCCCGCUGCCUUCCCACGGGCGGCCGGGGGGGGCCGGAGGGCUGGGGGGGGGGGCACCCGGACCGCCCGGCUGGAGCAAGGCUCUGUAGACACGCGAGGGCAAGGCACCGCCGCGGGUUUGCUGUGGGUGACUCUGCCCUGCCGGGGUGGGCGUCCCGCGUGGGUGCUCCCACGGUCCUAGAGCUGGCACGGCACCGACCCACGCUCGCACCGGGAGAGCAGCGGCAAAGCACCGGGCAACCCGUGCCAGCCCCAGCCGGUGAGCGUCGUGUUCGGCAUCGCACAGCCGGGACAGGGUGAGAGGAGCGGAGCGGGUGCCUGGAGAAAUCAAGGCACGGCAAGGGCUGAGGACGGCGGGCAGUUGGCUGGAGACACCUCCGGGAGGUAAUGGACGGAGGGAGACGUUGUCCUGCCCGUCACUGGCGGCUCACCAUCAGGUAUCGGUGAGGGUCGGAGGGUGCCGUGGGCAUGGAGCCCCGUGGAGGGAGGCGGGCUGUGCCGUGAACCCCACCUCGGGGCACGGAGUGCUGGGGACGGAGUCCAGGGGACCUGCCUGGAGGGUGCCAGCAGGGCAGGGAGCCGCUCCGUGCCCGCAGGGGCUGCAAAAAUCACUGACAGCAGCUUUUAAUGACGACAGGACUGACCUCACCCUCCCGAGGGGCUGCUGGGCUCUAGGGGUCUGGCCCAGCCCAACAAUGAUUUUUUUUGCCAACCAAUUCUCCAUGGAUGUAGCUCGGCUCCACAUGCUCCAGCUGGCCCUUUGCUCUCCUGAGGCUCUAACCAAAGCAGAGCUGAGCCUCUGCACGGGGAAGCGGGUGAUGAGCACUCGGACAAGCGCCGCCGUGGGAAUGGAUGCUGCAUCUUAACGAAGGCUGGAGAGAGAUAACUUUUAAUGACGUGUUCAGCACAAGGAGACUGAUGGUGAUGCUGUAGCUCCCAUGCAGACGGGAGUCAUCGCCAGAGGCACCACUGCCAUCACGCAGCUGACCCCAUGCACCAGAGCAGCCCAGCAGCG